rnacentral:rRNA from 1 species
GACGAACGCUGGCGGCGUGCUUAACACAUGCAAGUCGAGCGGUAAGGCCCUUUCGGGGGUACGACGAGCGGCGAACGGGUGAGUAACACGUGGGUGACCUGCCCUCAGCUCUGGGAUAAGCCUGGGAAACCGGGUACUAAUACCGGAUAUGACUCCAUGACGCAUGUUGUGGGGUGGAAAGCCUUGUGCGGCUGAGGAUGGGCCCGCGGCCUAUCAGCUUGUUGGUGGGGUGAUGGCCUACCAAGGCGACGACGGUAGCCGGCCUGAGAGGGCGACCGGCCACACUGGGACUGAGACACGGCCCAGACUCCUACGGGAGGCAGCAGUGGGGAAUCUUGCGCAAUGGGCGAAAGCCUGACGCAGCGACGCCGCGUGAGGGAUGACGGCCUGUGU